CUUGUUAUCCACAGAGCAUCGCAUCCUCCGUUAACCUCAUCAGUUAUAACCAGUCAUGAUCAACCUCUUUUUUCGAACCACCACGAUCAACCUCUCUUUGCGAACCAACACCUUGAAAAUCUUCAGACCACCAUGAAACCCUUACGCCAGCGAAAGCAGAAGCUAAAUUGCCUUUAAUUUAAGCCAAAUCGCACAAAUUUACCCAAAUUGUGACACAAAACGUGAACCACCAACCGCGUAACCAAUGCACCACCAUCAACGAACCUGACGUCUCCUCCAUAGCAAUCACUCUAACCACCUGUAGAGCAAAACCCCCUUCAUCUUCCUCUGUGAAAGCACGAGCUUCAUCACGCCAUGGAACCCCAAUCUACAAAUAAAAGCCAACAUCUAACACUGAUAGGUAAAACCACCGCGAGCGUCGCCAAGAAAAUCCUAAAACCUAAAUCGCACCGCCGCGAAACCUCCAUUCAAGUCCACUGUCGAACAUUAAGUAAGCGAAAACGUUUCUUUCACAACCCAAAUUUGUCAACUUUUUUACAAUGACACUUGGCGUCUCCUCAUUGGUUAGUUUGUAAUAUUUUUUUUAAAAUGUGCAUUUUGUCUUGGAGGGAAUUUUUGGAAAGGCAUUUGAGAUUCUCCUCUUUAUUUGGCAGUUUCAUUUGAAAAUUCCUGUCUCUCGACCAUUUUCAUUUCCCUUUUCUUUGUCUCUCUCCAUCGAAAGAAAUUCCCCCCUCGUUUGUCCCUGUUUUCAGGUUGGGGCAUUUCCUCGUUUGUGGAAGGUUUAGGGUUUUUGCACACAGUGUCGAGGUUGGUACCACCAUGAACUCAAUAGUUGAUGCAUUUGGUUGAAAAUGGGUUUGGGGGAAUGAGAUAUUACGUUGUUUAUACCUUGAUCAUGCAAUUUGUGAUUUUGUACCUUUAGUGAAAGUUUAUGAUAUGUAUUGAAAUGUUGAAGGCUCUUGUAACAAGAGGAUUGAGUAUUGUAUUAUGAAUAUUUUGUUUUUGGAAAUUUGAUUUUGAUUUUUUGGUUUUGCCCUUGUCGUUGUGUUAUUGUAGGUGAAUUGGUUUACUAAGUAUUUCUUCCAAUGCAAUUGAGUAUUGUAUUAUGAAUAUUAUGAACAUUUGUAUUCAUCCAAUGUAAUAGUCUUGUAUUUGUGUACAAGAACAUGUGAAGGAAUGAAAUGAUCACAAAACCAAACCAAAAAUACAAGAAAAACAUCAUAAUUAGUCAUUUCAAUCCAAU
rnacentral:lncRNA from 1 species